rnacentral:rRNA from 1 species
UACGUAGGUGGCAAGCGUUUGUUCGGAAUUAUUGGGCGUAAAGGGCGCGUAGGCGGCUUGUUAAGUCGGCUGUGAAAGCCCGGGGCUCAACCCCCGGAGGGUCAGCCGAUACUGGCAGGCUAGAGUACGGAAGAGGUAGCUGGAAUUCCCCGGUGUAGCGGUGAAAUGCGUAGAUAUCGGGAGGAACACCUGAGGCGAAGGCGGGCUACUGGGCCGAUACGUGACGCUGAUGUGCGAAAGCCAGGGGAGCGAACGGG